rnacentral:rRNA from 1 species
UACGAAGGGGGCUAGCGUUGCUCGGAAUCACUGGGCGUAAAGGGCGCGUAGGCGGCUUUUUAAGUCGGGGGUGAAAGCCUGUGGCUCAACCACAGAAUUGCCUUCGAUACUGGAAAGCUUGAGACCGGAAGAGGACAGCGGAACUGCGAGUGUAGAGGUGAAAUUCGUAGAUAUUCGCAAGAACACCAGUGGCGAAGGCGGCUCACUGGCUCGGUACUGACGCUGAGGUGCGAAAGCGUGGGGAGCAAACAGG